CAGGUCAGUGAUAACUUUGGUUCACACAACUGGGUAAAUGUUUCCAGAACUAAUGAAAAACUGGAUUCAAGUAGAACAAGAAUUAAUUACACGAGACUGAAUGAACGGAGGGAGAUGGUUAGAAUUUCUUAUUUGAAACAUUGCUGGCACCUUAAUAUUUUGUUUUUCCAGAUUUGAGAUUGCUCUUGCAGUAACAUGACCUACAACAAUGAGGAUUCUACUUCACAAGUCAAGACAACCUGUGGCACCCGGAUUAACAUGUCUGUGGAAACUGAAACUCAGUUACAGAAAAAUGCUGAACAACCCACUUGGCUUGAAAAGGCACUGACCCUCAGGUGAACCAUCUCCCUCAACGUGGAGUUUCCAAAAAGGAAGAGGAUGCCUGACUUAAAAAUGGUGACCCUGAACCCUGUGGCCUGUGAAUAGCACACAAACGACCAUCAAAAAACCAUGGGAACUUCAGGACAGCAGCUGGGAGUGAACAUUUAGAUACUACAGAGAUGACAUAUCACUAAGACACUUACAUGGUAUGAAUAUAUAGGAAUCCCAUGUCUGGACAAAGAUGCACUGGUAAGGUUGCAUGCUGUUUCCAUCUCAGUGGCCUUAAGACAAAGUUCAUCUUUCCUAGCUUCAGUUCUCUCAUAGGUAAAAUGGAAUAAUAUCUACUUCACUGGGAUUACAGACUUAAGUAUAUUAUCUUAUUUAAGGUUCCUAGGAAAUUAUCUGAUGCUGAAUUGACUUCAAUAAAGCUAGUGU